rnacentral:rRNA from 1 species
UACAGAGGAUGCAAGCGUUAUCCGGAAUGAUUGGGCGUAAAGCGUCUGUAGGUGGCUUUUUAAGUCCGCCGUCAAAUCCCAGGGCUCAACUCUGGACAGGCGGUGGAAACUACCAAGCUGGAGUACGGUAGGGGCAGAGGGAAUUUCCGGUGGAGCGGUGAAAUGCGUAGAGAUCGGAAAGAACACCAACGGCGAAGGCAGCACUCUGGGACGUGACUGACGCUGAGACGCGAAAGCCAGGGGAGCAAACGGG